rnacentral:rRNA from 1 species
GACGUAGGGCGCGAGCGUUGUCCGGAUUUAUUGGGCGUAAAGAGCUCGUAGGCGGCUUGUCGCGUCGACUGUGAAAUCCCGCGGCUCAACCGCGGGUCUGCAUCCGAUACUGGAUGGCUUGAAUUCGGGAGAGGGAUGCAGAAUUCCUGGUGUAGCGGUGAAAUGCGCAGAUAUCAGGAGGAACACCGGUGGCGAAGGCGGGUCUCUGGGCCGAUACUGACGCUGAGGAGCGAAAGCGUGGGGGAGCGAACAGG